UUAAGCGACUAAGCGUACACGGUGGAUGCCCUGGCAGUCAGAGGCGAUGAAGGACGUGCUAAUCUGCGAAAAGCGCCGGCGAGGUGAUAUGAACCCUUGACCCGGCGAUGUCCGAAUGGGGAAACCCAGUGCAAUUCGUUGCACUAUCGUUAACUGAAUACAUAGGUUAACGAGGCGAACCGGGGGAACUGAAACAUCUAAGUACCCCGAGGAAAAGAAAUCAACCGAGAUUCCCCCAGUAGCGGCGAGCGAACGGGGAGCAGCCCGGAGUCUGAAUCAGCUUGUGUGUUAGUGGAACGGUCUGGAAAGUCCGACGGUACAGGGUGAUAGUCCCGUACACGAAAGCACACAUGCUGUGAACUCGAAGAGUAGGGCGGGACACGUGGUAUCCUGUCUGAAUAUGGGGGGACCAUCCUCCAAGGCUAAAUACUCCUGACUGACCGAUAGUGAACCAGUACCGUGAGGGAAAGGCGAAAAGAACCCCGGCGAGGGGAGUGAAAAAGAACCUGAAACCGUGUACGUACAAGCAGUGGGAGCCUCUUUAUGGGGUGACUGCGUACCUUUUGUAUAAUGGGUCAGCGACUUAUAUUCUGUAGCAAGGUUAACCGUAUAGGGGAGCCGAAGGGAAACCGAGUCUUAACUGGGCGUUAAGUUGCAGGGUAUAGACCCGAAACCCGGUGAUCUAGCCAUGGGCAGGUUGAAGGUUGGGUAACACUAACUGGAGGACCGAACCGACUAAUGUUGAAAAAUUAGCGGAUGACCUGUGGCUGGGGGUGAAAGGCCAAUCAAACCGGGAGAUAGCUGGUUCUCCCCGAAAGCUAUUUAGGUAGCGCCUCGUGAACUCAUCUUCGGGGGUAGAGCACUGUUUCGGCUAGGGGGCCAUCCCGGCUUACCAACCCGAUGCAAACUACGAAUACCGAAGAAUGUUAUCACGGGAGACACACGGCGGGUGCUAACGUCCGUCGUGAAGAGGGAAACAACCCAGACCGCCAGCUAAGGUCCCAAAGUCAUGGUUAAGUGGGAAACGAUGUGGGAAGGCACAGACAGCCAGGAUGUUGGCUUAGAAGCAGCCAUCAUUUAAAGAAAGCGUAAUAGCUCACUGGUCGAGUCGGCCUGCGCGGAAGAUGUAACGGGGCUAAACCAUGCACCGAAGCUGCGGCAGCGACACUAUGUGUUGUUGGGUAGGGGAGCGUUCUGUAAGCCGUUGAAGGUGUGCUGUGAGGCAUGCUGGAGGUAUCAGAAGUGCGAAUGCUGACAUAAGUAACGAUAAAGCGGGUGAAAAGCCCGCUCGCCGGAAGACCAAGGGUUCCUGUCCAACGUUAAUCGGGGCAGGGUGAGUCGACCCCUAAGGCGAGGCCGAAAGGCGUAGUCGAUGGGAAACAGGUUAAUAUUCCUGUACUUGGUGUUACUGCGAAGGGGGGACGGAGAAGGCUAUGUCAGCCGGGCGACGGUUGUCCCGGUUUAAGCAUGUAGGCGGAGGUUCCAGGUAAAUCCGGUACCUUGUUAACGCUGAGGUGUGAUGACGAGGCACUACGGUGCUGAAGUGAUAAAUGCCCUGCUUCCAGGAAAAGCCUCUAAGCAUCAGGUAACACGAAAUCGUACCCCAAACCGACACAGGUGGUCAGGUAGAGAAUACCAAGGCGCUUGAGAGAACUCGGGUGAAGGAACUAGGCAAAAUGGUGCCGUAACUUCGGGAGAAGGCACGCUGAUGUGUAGGUGAAGCCCCUGCGGGUGGAGCUGAAAUCAGUCGAAGAUACCAGCUGGCUGCAACUGUUUAUUAAAAACACAGCACUGUGCAAACACGAAAGUGGACGUAUACGGUGUGACGCCUGCCCGGUGCCGGAAGGUUAAUUGAUGGGGUUAGCGGCAACGCGAAGCUCUUGAUCGAAGCCCCGGUAAACGGCGGCCGUAACUAUAACGGUCCUAAGGUAGCGAAAUUCCUUGUCGGGUAAGUUCCGACCUGCACGAAUGGCGUAAUGAUGGCCAGGCUGUCUCCACCCGAGACUCAGUGAAAUUGAACUCGCUGUGAAGAUGCAGUGUACCCGCGGCAAGACGGAAAGACCCCGUGAACCUUUACUAUAGCUUGACACUGAACACUGGUCCUUGAUGUGUAGGAUAGGUGGGAGGCUUUGAAGCGUGGACGCCAGUCUGCGUGGAGCCAACCUUGAAAUACCACCCUUUAAUGGCUGGUGUUCUAACGUAGACCCGUAAUCCGGGUUGCGGACAGUGUCUGGUGGGUAGUUUGACUGGGGCGGUCUCCUCCCAAAGAGUAACGGAGGAGCACGAAGGUUGGCUAAUCCUGGUCGGACAUCAGGAGGUUAGUGCAAUGGCAUAAGCCAGCUUGACUGCGAGCGUGACGGCGCGAGCAGGUGCGAAAGCAGGUCAUAGUGAUCCGGUGGUUCUGAAUGGAAGGGCCAUCGCUCAACGGAUAAAAGGUACUCCGGGGAUAACAGGCUGAUACCGCCCAAGAGUUCAUAUCGACGGCGGUGUUUGGCACCUCGAUGUCGGCUCAUCACAUCCUGGGGCUGAAGUAGGUCCCAAGGGUAUGGCUGUUCGCCAUUUAAAGUGGUACGCGAGCUGGGUUUAGAACGUCGUGAGACAGUUCGGUCCCUAUCUGCCGUGGGCGCUGGAGAAUUGAGGGGGGCUGCUCCUAGUACGAGAGGACCGGAGUGGACGCAUCACUGGUGUUCGGGUUGUCAUGCCAAUGGCACUGCCCGGUAGCUAAAUGCGGAAGAGAUAAGUGCUGAAAGCAUCUAAGCACGAAACUUGCCCCGAGAUGAGUUCUCCCUGAGACUUUAAGUCUCCUGAAGGAACGUUGAAGACGACGACGUUGAUAGGUCGGGUGUGUAAGCGCAGCGAUGCGUUGAGCUAACCGAUACUAAUGAACCGUGAGGCUUAACCUU
rnacentral:rRNA from 1 species